GACGUAGGGCGCGAGCGUUGUCCGGAUUUAUUGGGCGUAAAGCGCGCGCAGGCGGUUCGUUAAGUCCGAGGUGAAAUCUCCUGGCUCAACUGGGAGGGGUCUUCGGAUACUGGCGGACUUGAGGAGAGCAGAGGUGAGUGGAAUUCUCGGUGUAGUGGUGAAAUGCGUAGAUAUCGAGAGGAACACCAGCGGCGAAGGCGGCUCACUGGGCUCCACCUGACGCUGAGGCGCGAAAGCGUGGGGAGCGAACCGG
rnacentral:rRNA from 1 species